AUUCCCUUGCAAUCAAUUUUUUUACACGAUAUUGAUUCAACAGUGACGAAAAAAUGAAGUGUCUCGCCAUUGUGCUGUUGUCGUUCUGUCUAAUUAUUCACUGUGGUUCUCUCGUUAGAUCGGAAUUUACAGCAAAUUCAGGUCAACGACGAAGUGUUCGAGUUCAUAGAGUAGCUGAUGAUGAAUUUCGUGGAAAUGAGAAUGACUAUGCAACAACUAUAAUGCACGAAGGGACAACUAAACAACCCAUAGAACGCCA